GGAUAUAGAGUUAAUAUAAUUUUCAAAUUUAUUUAACAUGUCAGAAUUGUAAAAUAGCAGCAUAAAAUAAACAUUUGAGAUUAGUAUUAAAACUAUAUCUAA
rnacentral:SRP_RNA from 1 species